rnacentral:rRNA from 1 species
AGGACGAACGCUGGCGGCGCGCCUAACACAUGCAAGUCGAGGGAGAACCGGGCUUCGGCCCGGGGAGACCGGCGAACGGGUGAGUAACACGUGAGGAACCUGCCCUGUAGACCGGAAUAACCAUGGGAAACUGUGGCUAAUGCCGGAUGAUCUCCGCAGCCCGCAUGGGUUGCAGAGGAAAUGGUCAGCCGCUACAGGAUGGCCUCGCGGCCUAUCAGCUUGUUGGCGGGGUAACGGCCCACCAAGGCGACGACGGGUAGCUGGCGUGAGAGCGCGACCAGCCACACUGGGACUGAGACACGGCCCAGACUCCUACGGGAGCAGCAGUGGGGGAAUAUUGGACAAUGGGCGCAAGCCUGAUCCAGCAAUGCCGCGUGUCGUGGAAGAAGGCCUUCGGGGUUAGUAAA